CCUACGGGCGGCUGCAGUGGGGAAUAUUGGACAAUGGGGGGAACCCUGAUCCAGCCAUGCCGCGUGUGUGAAGAAGGCCCUCGGGUUGUAAAGCACUUUCAGUGAGGAAGAACGCCUGGUGGUUAAUACCCAUCAGGAAAGACAUCACUCACAGAAGAAGCACCGGCUAACUCCGUGCCAGCAGCCGCGGUAAUACGGAGGGUGCGAGCGUUAAUCGGAAUUACUGGGCGUAAAGCGCGCGUAGGUGGCUUGAUAAGCCGGUUGUGAAAGCCCCGGGCUCAACCUGGGAACGGCAUCCGGAACCGUCAAGCUAGAGUGCAGGAGAGGAAGGUAGAAUUCCCGGGGUAGCGGUGAAAUGCGUAGAGAUCGGGAGGAAUACCAGUGGCGAAGGCGGCCUUCUGGACUGACACUGACACUGAGGUGCGAAAGCGUGGGUAGCAAACAGGAUUAGAUACCCCAGUAGUC
rnacentral:rRNA from 1 species